GGUUUAAUAUCACAGAGCUAGAAGCUAGUUUCAGCAGAACCAGAAUUAGAAUCUGGACUUCUGUGCCUUACUAAGUUUUAUUAGCAUUCAUUGUGUCUUACUCUUUUGACUUAUUUAAUUCACUAAUGGAUUUUAAUGGUUUAUUGGAUUGUAUGCUGGUGCAGUUCUUUGAUCUUGAGCCUAGCUUUCUCUUUCUCCUUUUUUGGGAACUUUAUUGUGUAUGUUGUGGCAUGUUUACACACACAUCUUGCUGCCUUGGGUUCUUGCAAGUUGUGUGCGUGUUUUAUCUGCCCCUACUAGCUUUUAGGUGUCUUGAGAGCAUGACUCUGGCUUACUCAUCUGUCUAUUCCAGAAGACCUUGUCUGUUCUUGGCAUUUAUUAACUAAUUUUCUAAGACUGGGUUGAAGUAGUUGCAUGUCAAGUUUAUAUCAGCUGUUAAAUACCUUUCUGGAAAAACUGGCUGUAAAAUAAACUCAACCAGGAAAAAAAAAAAAAAA
rnacentral:lncRNA from 1 species